GUCCUUGCCGUAAACGAUGUGGAUUAGGUGUUGGAGGUGUCGAUCCCUGCAGCGCCGCAGUUAACACAUUAAAUCCACCACCUGGGGGAGUACGGUCGCAAGACUGAAACUCAAAGAAAUUGACGGGGACCCGCACAAGCGGUGGAGCAUGUGGUUUAAUUCGAGGCUACGCGAAGAACCUUACCCAGGCUUGACAUGGUUAGGACAACGCAUGAAAGUGCGCCUUCUCGCAAGAGACCUUUUUCACAGGUGCUGCAUGGCUGUCGU
rnacentral:rRNA from 1 species